rnacentral:rRNA from 1 species
ACGAACGCUGGCGGCGUGCUUAACACAUGCAAGUCGAACGGAAAGGCCCUGCUUGCAGGGUACUCGAGUGGCGAACGGGUGAGUAACACGUGGGUGAUCUGCCCUGCACUUCGGGAUGAGCCUGGGAAACUGGGUCUAAUACCGGAUAGGAGCCAUUUUUAGUGUGAUGGUUGGAAAGUUUUUUCGGUGUAGGAUGAGCUCGCGGCCUAUCAGCUUGUUGGUGGGGUAAUGGCCUACCAAGGCGGCGACGGGUAGCCGGCCUGAGAGGGUGGACGGCCACAUUGGGACUGAGAUACGGCCCAGACUCCUACGGGAGGCAGCAGUGGGGAAUAUUGCACAAUGGGCGCAAGCCUGAUGCAGCGACGCCGCGUGGGGGAUGACGGCCUUCGGGUUGUAAACUCCUUUCGCUAGGGACGAAGCUUUUUGUGACGGUACCUAGAUAAGAAGCACCGGCUAACUACGUG